GCGACAGGCUUAACACAUGCAAGUCGAGGGGCAGCGGGGGUAGCGAUACCCGCCGGCGACCGGCGCACGGGUGAGUAACGCGUAUGCAACUUGCCUAUCAGAGGGGGAUAACCCGGCGAAAGUCGGACUAAUACCGCAUGAAGCAGGGGCCCCGCAUGGGGAUAUUUGCUAAAGAUUCAUCGCUGAUAGAUAGGCAUGCGUUCCAUUAGGCAGUUGGCGGGGUAACGGCCCACCAAACCGACGAUGGAUAGGGGUUCUGAGAGGAAGGUCCCCCACAUUGGUACUGAGACACGGACCAAACUCCUACGGGAGGCAGCAGUGAGGAAUAUUGGUCAAUGGCCGAGAGGCUGAACCAGCCAAGUCGCGUGAGGGAUGAAGGUUCUAUGGAUCGUAAACCUCUUUUAUAAGGGAAUAAAGUGCGGGACGUGUCCCGUUUUGUAUGUACCUUAUGAAUAAGGAUCGGCUAACUCCGUGCCAGCAGCCGCGGUAAUACGGAGGAUCCGAGCGUUAUCCGGAUUUAUUGGGUUUAAAGGGUGCGUAGGCGGCCUUUUAAGUCAGCGGUGAAAGUCUGUGGCUCAACCAUAGAAUUGCCGUUGAAACUGGGGGGCUUGAGUAUGUUUGAGGCAGGCGGAAUGCGUGGUGUAGCGGUGAAAUGCAUAGAUAUCACGCAGAACCCCGAUUGCGAAGGCAGCCUGCCAAGCCAUUACUGACGCUGAUGCACGAAAGCGUGGGGAUCAAACAGGAUUAGAUACCCUGGUAGUCCACGCAGUAAACGAUGAUCACUAGCUGUUUGCGAUACACUGUAAGCGGCACAGCGAAAGCGUUAAGUGAUCCACCUGGGGAGUACGCCGGCAACGGUGAAACUCAAAGGAAUUGACGGGGGCCCGCACAAGCGGAGGAACAUGUGGUUUAAUUCGAUGAUACGCGAGGAACCUUACCCGGGUUUGAACGCAUUCGGACCGAGGUGGAAACACCUUUUCUAGCAAUAGCCGUUUGCGAGGUGCUGCAUGGUUGUCGUCAGCUCGUGCCGUGAGGUGUCGGCUUAAGUGCCAUAACGAGCGCAACCCUUGCCACUAGUUACUAACAGGUAGAGCUGAGGACUCUGGUGGGACUGCCAGCGUAAGCUGCGAGGAAGGCGGGGAUGACGUCAAAUCAGCACGGCCCUUACAUCCGGGGCGACACACGUGUUACAAUGGCGUGGACAAAGGGAGGCCACCUGGCGACAGGGAGCGAAUCCCCAAACCACGUCUCAGUUCGGAUCGGAGUCUGCAACCCGACUCCGUGAAGCUGGAUUCGCUAGUAAUCGCGCAUCAGCCAUGGCGCGGUGAAUACGUUCCCGGGCCUUGUACACACCGCCCGUCAAGCCAUGGGAGCCGGGGGUACCUGAAGUCCGUAACCGAAAGGAUCGGCCUAGGGUAAAACUGGUGACUGGGGCUAAGUCGUA
rnacentral:rRNA from 1 species